rnacentral:rRNA from 1 species
GAUGAACGCUAGCGGGAGGCCUAACACAUGCAAGCCGAGCGGGAUUUGAGACUAGCUUGCUAGUCUUAAUGAGAGCGGCGUACGGGUGCGGAACACGUGUGCAACCUGCCUUUAUCUGGGAGAUAGCCUUUCGAAAGGAAGAUUAAUAUCCCAUAAUAUAAUGAUUGGCAUCAAUUAUUAUUGAAAGCUCCGGCGGAUAGAGAUGGGCACGCGCAAGAUUAGAUAGUUGGUGAGGUAACGGCUCACCAAGUCGAUGAUCUUUAGGGGGCCUGAGAGGGUGAUCCCCCACACUGGUACUGAGACACGGACCAGACUCCUACGGGAGGCAGCAGUGAGGAAUAUUGGACAAUGGGUGAAAGCCUGAUCCAGCCAUCCCGCGUGAAGGAUUAAGGACCUAUGGUCUGUAAACUUCUUUUCUACAGGGAUAAACCUACUCUCGUGAGAGUAGCUGAAGGUACUGUAGGAAUAAGCACCGGCUAACUCCGUGCCAGCAGCCGCCGUAA